rnacentral:tRNA from 30 species
GCUGAUGUAGCUCAGUUGGUAGAGCAACUGAUUCGUAAUCAGUAGGUCGACGGUUCGAUUCCGCCCAUCAGCACCA